rnacentral:misc_RNA from 1 species
UGUGUGUGUGUGUGUGUGUACAAUUUAGGCUAUGGCGUCUCGCUUCAAAAAAGCUCUCCCCUCGCCUCGUCUCUCGCCUAGGGCCACAGGAUACACUGUCCCCUUUCGCCUUAAUAACACUGCUUAUGUCAAUUUCAGUAAUAAACAUCAAAAAAUUGCUGGGCAAGUUGGCAAGCAUCCGUUAAGUAUGGGUUACCCAAGGAAUCCAGCAAACUUGUUCAAUUGGAAACCAAUUACUAAUACGAUAUUCCUGUUGGCAUUAAAGAUAUCUUUGAUAAGGAAAUUGUUAGGGUUAUUGAACCCUAACA